rnacentral:lncRNA from 1 species
CACAGCUGGAUAACACACCGUCUGAUGGCAGUAUAACUCACAGCAGAAUCUAUAAUUUCACUUUCCACGGACAAGAAAGGACAGGACUAGAGAACAGACGUUUCUCACAGGAGAUCAUUGAAUAAUCUGACAACAAGACAGGGCUAGGAAGAGGGAAUAAGAAGCAGAGACAAUCAAGGGCAAAAGAGGGGACAGGUGAGGAGAAGGGAACGAAAGGGGAAACAGCUGAAAGAGAUGAGGAGUGGAUGUGUGUGCGUGAUAGUGUGAGUGACUGUGCGACCACAAGAGGGAGACAGAGAAAGAGGAGAAGAAACCAGGAUCAUGACAUUACAGCUGUGUUGUGUUGGGCUGAUAAACAUAUUUAAGAAGACAGUGCUCCAGUGCAUGCUGCUCAUUCAGAAACACUGUUGUUGGUCUCUUUGUUUUUUGUGUUUUAGCACAUGAAUAUGUGCUAUUUGUAGCUAUAGCUGUUAAUUACACUGUUGAUGCCACUCUGUAUUUUCUCUUUUUAUUGCAGAAACCUCUGGAGAGCUGAUGCAAGCUGAGUUAGUGUGUCGGCACGAGCUCCAACCUGGUCACCUCCCUGUUUCCAAUGUUGAAAACAGCCGUGGAGAAGAACAAACCUGUUUUGGCAGUGAGGUACCUGAUGAAAGCCAAAGAGUGGAUCGCUGACAUCAUAACACAAGUGGAUGACAUUGUGAAGAGGUGAAAAUAUUAGUAAUAUCUUAUAGCCAACUUAAUUCAAAGGGGAAACACCUCGGUGAUUUUAUAAUUGCAAGUAAAUUUGAUGUCCAAAGUUAUCUUUUGUUGUUAUUGUUGUCUUGUUUGCACAGAUUAUUUGAAGUAUUCAAAUAAUUUGCUAUUCAGGGUCAUGGAUCACAAGAUGUUUUGGGUC